rnacentral:tRNA from 1 species
UUCCAUGUUCAUACUUUUCAGUUGGCCCACAUUUCUAAAAAAUCAUUUUUUGUACUAGUCGUAACUAAUAUUCUAAUUUUCUGAGAUACUGAAUUUGGGAUUUUCAGUAAUUGUCAGUACUAAUCAUCCAAAUUAAAAGAAAUAAACAUUUCAAAUAUAUCACUCUGUGUGUAAUGAAUUGAUAUAAUAUGUAAGUUUCACGUUCUGAAUAUAAUUACUGAAAUAAAUCAACUUUUUCAUGAUAUUCUAAUAAUUUGACCAGCACCUGUAUAUCCUGCGGCCCAGUACCAUCAACUGGCGCUCCCCGUCGCCUGUGGGUCGAGGUCGAAUCUACCAAGAAUUGGCCAAUCAGCGCUCGUAUCAUCUACCAAGAAUUGGCCAAUCAGCACUCGUAUCAUCUACCAAGCAUUGGCCAUUCAGCGCUCGUAUCAUCUACCAAGAAUUGGCCAAUCAGCGCUCGUAUCAUCUACCAAAAAUUGGCCAAUCAGCGAUCGUAUUUCGCUGUUACUACGAAGAAUGACAUCGUGGCCUUUCGAGCGUCAAUCAGCGCUCGUAUUGCUACCCAAAAAUUACUUCACUUCAGUAUUUUUCGAUUUGCGAGUGACAUUAGAAAUUUACGAAAAUCUUCACACCUUUCGUUUGAUUACUUCACUUCACUUCACUUCUUAUGAACAUUUCCGAGAAUACAAACUGGAUCCUAAAUUUAGGAAGAAGGAUGGCUGUAUCUGCCUUUUUGACUCUGAGGAUGCCAAGAAGGUCAAGGCGGAGAAACGGCCAUGGACCAGAGCUCUUUCAUCAGAUGAGGUGAAAGAGUCUGCAAGGGAAGCUGUUGAGCAUAAAGGUGGGGGGAUCCCAACAACAAGGAGCAUGUUUUUGGCCAGCAUAAAUUACAGUUUGGGGCCUUCAGGGAUCAAACAUUUAAAUGGCUGGCUGAGAACGCUCUGGGGUAUGCUGGCUAUGUGGUGGCAUCCAUGUCGGUGGAGUCAGGUCGCUCUGAUUCAACCAACAAUCUGAUAAAUAAGAGACUUUUGGAGAAGUACGUCUCUCAUUUUCCUGCUGGCCGCUAUGCCAUUCGGGUGAAGAAGGAAGUACUGAGCUCCCAACCUGCCACUACAGCUUCUGCCUCUACACAGGCCGCCUCCACAUCCCAACAGCCUUCAGCCUCCUUGCAGGGUGCUGUCAAUGUAGCACCCGCCUUCUCUCCACGAUCAUCCGUAGUGCCUGUAUCCUCCCUACGCGGCCUGUUGUCAAGGAGAGACCAGUCUCCCCAGGCUAUCUCCAAAAAUGUAAAGAGCCUCUUUACAACACCAAGGUUUCAGCCAUCUAUUCCUGCCCUGCCACGCGCUGGAUCCAUUGAGGCAUCAUCUGCAGUAACAGUAAAAACGGAACCAACUGACAGCGAGCUCAUGCAGGCUGCCGCAGAAGUGGACCCCGACACAUCGCGUAAGUGUUUUUAUUUUAUGGACACAGCCCCUCUCUCGGUCUCUCUCUCUCUCUCUCUCUCUCUCUCUCUCUCUCUCUCUCUCUCUCUCUCUCUCUCUCUCUCUCUCUCUCUCUCUCUCUCGGUCUCUCUCUCUCUCUCUCUCUCUCUCUCUCUCUCUCUCUCUCUCUCUCUCUCUCUCUCUCUCUCUCUCUCUCUCUCUCUCUCUCUCUCUCACUCCUCUUGCUGUAAAAAAAAGAUAUGUAUGUCAUUACAUGAGGAUAUUACAAUCAUGAAUACAAAUUAGAAUUUAGCAUACUUCAAUAUAAUCAAAAUGAAGAUAGUGUGGUUUAUCAUAUAUAAUUAUUAUUUCCAUAAUUACUGUCAUGGUCUGUCUGUUCCUUGUCGUGUUUUGGUGUGUUCCCUGUGUUUCCUGUGCUACUUUGGAUAUAAAUAAACCGUAUAAAUGAUACAACUUUAUAAACGGCUAUGAGUUGGUUUUAUGCUCUGGUAAGAUCGAAAAUCAUCAACCGAAAUUCCCAGAGCUGUUGGGAUAUAUAACAGCUCUGGUAUAUCCUCAACAGGUGGCUCCGUGGCGCAAUGGAUAGCGCAUUGGACUUCUAGUCAAACACUGAGAUGUGAUUCAAAGGUUGUGGGUUCGAGUCCCACCGGAGUCGCACCUUUUUCUUUCGAUACUGUGCAUUAGAACAGCAUUUAACGAACAGAACGAGGCUUGUUAGCAUCUCACUAAUAUCGGUAAAAACCAUAGACAUCUUAUAGCAAUAGACAGAGCAUUGGCUGCUGGGACGCGAGAAAUACGGCCGCCAUCUUGGAGUGGUCAACCGGGAGCAGCAACAGCAGCAGAAACAGGAUGCCGGGCUGUUGUUCAGCAUAUUCCUGCUCAAAUCGACGGACCAUCCACAAUAGGAAUCGGGGGAUUACUUUUCACAAGGAAUCGGGGGAUUACCAAUAGUACGGAUUUAACAUUACCGUACUAUUGGUAUAAUUGGUAUUGAAUAAUAAAACACGCCAAACCAUGUGGCCUUUAUCAUAGCUACACGUAUGACAAAAAAACUGUAGGGCUGCAAAUAACGAUUAUUUGAAUAAUCGAUUAAUCUGUCGAUUAUUUUUUCGAUUAAUCAAUGAAUCGGAUAAUUUUUUUUUUUUUUAAAACACCAGGUUAUUGCUCCAACGUCCCAGAACUAGUAAAAGUAAUAUUAAAUAAUAAAACAAUUAAAAUAACAUAACUGGGAUAACACAAUAAAAACAUACAAUGUAUGAUAUACUUUUAUAUGUAUAUAAGGGAUGUCCAUGGUUAACCGGUCAAACCUAUUGAUACCAUUUUCGAGACUCCUUGAAAUAGAACUUGUAAUAUUGCUUUAAUUGCUGAUAAGAUGAUGAUAGUUCAAGAUAGGACAUUAAACAGGUCAUAAUUCAAUCUUUACUAUCUAUUUUAUAUUACUGGGAAAACAAGUUUUCACAAAAAUCUCAAUUUUUUAUUUAUUUUUUCUGUUGCAUUUGAACGCAUCAAUCAUAUUACUGAGCCGACCUGAACACAUCACAUUUGACAUUGUUUGUGACCAUUGGUCAGUUUAUUUUUUUAAGUUAACUAGCUCUAUAUCCUGCCGAUUUUAACAUGGAUUUAAAAACUGCAUUACUAUUUUUAACUGAUGGGACUUUCUACACCGUCCGGUUGUGUGAUUACUACCGCUGCUUUGAAUGACUGUUGAUGCACGCGGUGCCGACUCCGAGCCCGUCUGCACUAGGGAUGUGAAGAAUGUGUCGACUCAACGGUCGAUUCUCGACUCGUGCUCUAAACGACUCUAAAAAUAGAAAUCGAUUAAUCGGGUUUUUUUUACUUUUUUUUUUUUUUUUGCAUACAAACUGCUUCAAUGUCCUUUACAAAACAUUGUAACCCAUUUCUGCUUUCAAAAUAACCAUGAAUCAAAAUAUAAUAAAUCCUUCUCUUUUUUUUCAAAUGGGAGACGUAGCUGUGUUGUUGUUCUAACCAGGGCCGUAGCACCAAAUCCUGGGCCCCUAUACUAUAGGUACUGAUGGGCCCCCCUGCGCCAGGUUGUUGACGGGGGGGUCCGGAGCGAUUGUUGACGACGGAGGGGGGGGGGGGGUCCGUAGUGAUUGAUGACGGGGGGGGGGGGGGUCCGGAGCGAUUGUUGACGGGGGGGGGGGGGGGGGGACUGGCCGGAAGGGCCCCCCCUCUGCCUUGGGCCCCCCCACAACUGUCCCCUUUGUCCUCGCAGUCCGACGGCCCUGGUUCUAACGGUCACUUCUGUUCUGCUACACCGCUACGUCUCCCAAAAGCGAUCUCUUCCUUUGUCCUUUCAUGACAAUGGCUUCACUUAAAAGACCGGUGUGGGAUAGUUUCACAAAGAUUGAAGACAGAACAGUUAAAUGUAAAUUAUGCCUCAUGAAGUUUGCGUACCAUUCGUCCACAACCGUGAUGUUGAAUCACCUGGCAAGGAGGCAUCCCAAGCCUUCCAGCCAGCAAUUCAGCAUCGCAAACUUCACGGUGAGAUCCUGUGAUAGCCGCCGGGCUGAAAGAAUCAGCGGGUUGCUAGCCAAGAUGAUAGCCGGAGAUAUGCUGCCCAUGAGCGUAGUAGAGGGGACUGGGUUACGCAAUCUUAUUUCAUUUCUCGAGCCAACCUACACAGUGCCAUGUCGCCAAACGAUUACUGUGAGGCUGGAGAAAAUGUUCUGCGAAGCAGCAGCCUCCCUCCGCGAGAUCCUGUCCUCAGCUGACAAAGUUGCCAUCACCACUGAUGCCUGGACAGCUUUGACGACUGAGUCGUACGUGACGGUGACGUUCACUUUUUCAGCGACUGGGUUCUGCAGAGUGCGAUCCUCCAGACCCGCUCAAUGACAGAGAGGCACACUGCUGAGAACAUGGCUCACGUCUUGCAAGCCGCCGUUUACAUUUUCUCAUUUUUAUUAUCACUAGGGUUUGGGUGCAACAUUUUAAUUCUAAACAGCAGUUGUGGUCCCAAAAAUGUUUCUUUUUGUAAUUCAGCACGCACAGCCGAUGAAUUAACGGCUGGAGGCGCGUGCAGCCAGACCCUUCCCAGAUCGCAAAACACUGCGGUUGCCUACUAGCAACUUGCUCGAAAAUAUAAAAUAUUUAUUUAAAAUAUUUAUUUACUGUGCGGAAUCUCAAUCAGUGACCGCACCAUGCAGACAGGAGUGCGCCCACAGUCUCCAGGUGCACCUUCUCAAGUACUGCAAAAAUACCUCUGCCAAAAUACACCAAAACAUGAAUUUUCGUUUACAAAUAUUUAUUUAAAAACAAAUUAUUAUUUUUUAUUUUAUUUUUUCGGGCCGAAAAAAAGAGAAGAAAUCGAUCGAUUUUUCGAUUUAUCCCUCCUACACGUCGACUCACAGAAAACGAGUCGUUUAACAUCCCUCUGCACCACGUCUGCAGCAGCAGCAGCGGACAGUUUUCGGUUGGACUAGACGGAUACUGAGUUGAAGGAGUUUUUUUAACCCAAAGACAGUGAAGGUACAACACUUCUAUGUAGGCAUACAGUCCAGUGUUAAGAUACGACCAAAAUACAAGCUGUGGUCGCGCACACUAAAGCUCGCUGUGGGCGUGCAUGAACCAUGAACCAACCUGUCGGCGGCUGGCUGUAAACAGUGCUGCGCCUACGAGUAACUUAUUAAUUGCGCGACACAACGAAUCGACGACCAAAUUCGUUGUCAAGGCAUUUAGUAAUCGAUUUUUAUCGAUUUUAUCGAUUCGUUGUUGCAGCCCUAAUUAAAUGCGCUGACAGUUCAUUGCUCCAGCCAAACGGAUUACGCUGAGUGGAGCGGAUGACCACUCCAAGAUGGCGGCCCCGCGUCUCGUCAGCGCCAGUAGGCGGUAGCAUUCGAUGCUCCGUCUAUCAUAUAAGAUGUCUAUGGUAAAAACAACAACAACCGGUUAGCAAUUUGUAAAAAGGCUAAGAGAAAGCCCGGAGUUUGUCUCCCCCAAUGGUGAACUGCAGAACUGUAGUCAUUAGUGACCUUGCUAAUUGUAGCUAGAAGCUAAAUAAACAUUCAACGACGAAAGCUUCAGUUGAUACAUUGAAAAAAACUCACAAUAAGCACUGAAUAAUUCAUAAAAACAACUUUUGCAAUGUUCAAUAAAAAACUCUAAGUUAGCCUUCGAUUUUAAUUAGCCCUCAUUUUAGCACGUCUAGCAUUAGCAGCCGCAUGGUGCGCGUGCCAUCAAAUAUUUUAUUUGAUAAUUCCUCAAUUUCACUGAAAAUCUAUUUCACAGUGAAGUAUUCGUCCUUAAACGUAGUUUCUGGCAUAUUUUGCACUGCAGAGACAAAGUUGAAAAGCUGUUUCUCUACCGUCAUAUUUUGGUGUGCUUGUCCCAGAAGGUCGUAGCUUUGCAUCGAUUUAAUUGGAGCAGCCACAAA